rnacentral:rRNA from 1 species
UACGUAGGGUCCGAGCGUUGUCCGGAAUUAUUGGGCGUAAAGGGCUCGUAGGCGGUUCGUCACGUCGGGAGUGAAAACUCGGAGCUUAACUCCGAGCCUGCUUCCGAUACGGGCAGACUAGAGGUAGGCAGGGGAGAGCGGAACUCCUGGUGUAGCGGUGGAAUGCGCAGAUAUCAGGAAGAACACCGGUGGCGAAGGCGGCUCUCUGGGCCGUACCUGACGCUGAGGAGCGAAAGCGUGGGUAGCGAACAGG